rnacentral:misc_RNA from 1 species
GAUGAAGAACGUAGCGAAAUGCGAUACUUGGUGUGAAUUGCAGAAUCCCGUGAACCAUCGAGUCUUUGAACGCAAGUUGCGCCCGAAGCCACUAGGCCGAGGGCACGCCUGCCUGGGCGUCACACGCCGUUGCCCCCCCAUCUACUCCUUCGGGAUUGCGGGGGGGCGGAUGAUGGCCUCCCGUGCGCCUAGCCGCGCGGUUGGCAUAAAUACCAAGUCCUCGGCGACGCACGCCACGACAAUCGGUGGUUGCGAAACCUCGGUUGCCCGUCGUGUGCGUUCGUCGCGCAUCGAGGGCUCGAAAAAAUGUUCGGCUCCGGCUGGGCUUUCAACGCGACCCCAGGUCAGGCGGGGUUACCCGCUGAAUUUAAGCAUAUCAAUAAGCGGAGGA